rnacentral:rRNA from 1 species
GAUGAACGCUGGCGGCGUGCUUAACACAUGCAAGUCGAACGAAGCAUUUGCGACAGCUUUUUUCGGAACGAAGUUGCUUAUGACUGAGUGGCGGACGGGUGAGUAACGCGUGGGUAACCUGCCUUGUACUGGGGGAUAGCAGCUGGAAACGGCUGGUAAUACCGCAUAAGCGCACAAUGUUGCAUGACAUGGUGUGAAAAACUCCGGUGGUAUAAGAUGGACCCGCGUCUGAUUAGCUAGUUGGUGAGAUAACAGCCCACCAAGGCGACGAUCAGUAGCCGACCUGAGAGGGUGACCGGCCACAUUGGGACUGAGACACGGCCCAGACUCCUACGGGAGGCAGCAGUGGGGAAUAUUGCACAAUGGAGGAAACUCUGAUGCAGCGACGCCGCGUGAGUGAAGAAGUAAUUCGUUAUGUAAAGCUCUAUCAGCAGGGAAGAUAGUGACGGUACCUGACUAAGAAGCUCCGGCUAAAUACGUG